GCUGAUGGGACAGGAUGGUCCGGGUGUACUACAUUGACUGUCCUCAAUAUUAAGUGUCGAAAACAAGCUUCCUCUGUGACUUUUAGUUUCUUAAUGUAAGUAGGUUAAAAGAGUUUAGCGAUGGCCCUAAAUUGCUGCGUUAUUGUUUGUAAUGUCCGGAAUCGUAAAAAGAUCGAAAACGGACUUUUUAAAUGGAUUCUCCACCAGAAACAAGGCGAGGAGCUCAUGUGUUGGACGCAACAAAAAGGACACGUGACACGUCCUCGUGUAACUUUCUCCAGCUCCCUGAGACCUGCUGCUUUGUUCCAGACAUUCUGACAAACCUUCAGAUGAAACUCCAGGAGAGGAGCUCAGUGAGGCUGCAGAUGAUGGAGAGGAGGAACAUGAAGCAGCAGCUGAAGCUACAAAUACAAUGUGUGGACAAAGAAGAGCAGAAACAAACCACCUGUUACAGGAGAACAGGGAUGGACGUCCAUCAGACAAGCUCAUAACAGAAGCUGUGGCCUUCUCUCCAGAUUAUUACCCGGGGACGUUGUUAUGACAGAGGCUUUGAUAUUAAAGAGUGUGGGGGUCGAGCUCAAGGUUCUUUAUUGGCAUUCACAUGGCAUGUUGUACAUGAGGUGGAAUGAAACUGUGCACACAGGGUCCCAGUCACAUCCAACAAAAGUAUAAAUGAAUGACGUGCUGAGGUUCAAAUCCCAUCAGUCACUAAAUGGAGAUGUGAACUUGAUGCUCAGGAUGUUGAACACACACGAGCACACCUUAGAGUUCAUGUGGAAACAGUGACUGGUUGCAUGAGAAACACAAUGUUGCACAGAAAUAUACCAGUUAACUAUACUGGUGCUCACAU